rnacentral:rRNA from 1 species
GCAGCAGCCACGGUAAUACAGAGGGUGCGAGCGUUAAUCGGAUUUACUGGGCGUAAAGCGUGCGUAGGCGGCUUUUUAAGUCGGAUGUGAAAUCCCUGAGCUUAACUUAGGAAUUGCAUUCGAUACUGGGAAGCUAGAGUAUGGGAGAGGAUGGUAGAAUUCCAGGUGUAGCGGUGAAAUGCGUAGAGAUCUGGAGGAAUACCGAUGGCGAAGGCAGCCAUCUGGCCUAAUACUGACGCUGAGGUACGAAAGCAUGGGGAGCAAACAGGAUUAGAGACCCCCGUAGUCCCUGUCUCUUAUAC